rnacentral:rRNA from 1 species
UACGUAUGGAGCAAGCGUUAUCCGGAUUUACUGGGUGUAAAGGGAGCGUAGGCGGCAUACCAAGCCUGAUGUGAAAACCCGGGGCCCAACCCCGGGAGUGCAUUGGGAACUGGCAAGCUAGAGUGUCGGAGAGGCAGGCGGAAUUCCUAGUGUAGCAGUGAAAUGCGUAGAUAUUAGGAGGAACACCAGUGGCGAAGGCGGCCUGCUGGACGAUGACUGACGCUGAGGCUCGAAAGCGUGGGGAGCAAACAGG